UACGAAGGGGGCGAGCGUUGUUCGGAUUUACUGGGCGUAAAGGGCGCGCAGGCGGUCAUUUUUGUCGAGUGUGAAAGCCCCGGGCUUAACCUGGGAACUGCGCUCGAAACGGGAUGACUAGAGAUCGGGAGAGGAGAGUGGAAUUCCCAGUGUAGAGGUGAAAUUCGUAGAUAGUUAGGGAAGAACACCGGGUGGCGAAGGCGGCUCUCUGGACCGAUACGUGACGCUGAGGCGCGAAAGCGUGGGGAGCAAACAGGG
rnacentral:rRNA from 1 species